GCAUGCCUGGUGGCGGAUGUGGGUUAUUCUUAACCAAAUGCACUUCCUCUAGUUUGUGAGGGCAAGGGGAGGAGCGGGAGCUCCAUCCUUACACUGAACUUCCCUUUCUAUGCUGCUCAAGUUCAACUCUGCUCAGCAGCCGUUCAGGGCAGGUGACUUCACUCUCCAUGUCCAGCUCCUGGCCACCAAGGCCUCCUCCCUCCUUGCCCGCUCCCCGUAGCAGCUGUGCUCAGGCAUACACCGGGCACCAGGACACGGCCACCAACAGGGAGAGGCAGCUGUUUUUCCCUUUGACAAAGAAACAAAAGAGACAAACAGAACUCAAUCACCUGCCUGAAGUUGUGAAUAAAACCUAACUGGCUCUCUAAGAGAGGACAAGCCGCAAAACAGAAUCUCGAGCUACAUCCAUGGGGAACGUUACCCUGCUGUCAUCAAAACGCAGGAUAUAAACUCAUAGUAGAAACACAAGACACCGUUGAACCUGGAAGGAAGGCCCAACUCCAUGGGCAGAACCGGCCUGUGGUCAUCUUGGAACCUCACGGCAAUGAGCUCCCAAAAGGCAGCACCUGCCCCGGGCAUAGGCACACAGGAAGAUCCCACAUGGAUUCAGAUCCCCCGGCAAGGUCCCACUGCUUGUCUUUGGAGGUAUAUUUCACAAGAGUAACUGACAUGCAGCUUCAGUGACAAGUGUCAUCAUAAUGAUGCUGAGGAUGUGUGCAAUGCACGGGUCGGCUUCCUUCUCAUCCCCGUGGACUCUAAGCUCUAAGACAGUGGGGAGUCUGUCCUGUUGAGACUGUGCCCCUAGCACCCAACGCAGAGCCUGACGUGGACUAUGGCUCCAUAAUGAAUAAAUAAACAAAGGAACAAAUGCAUGACUGAUUAGGUGGAUGAGUGAAUGGAUGAAUAAGUGAAUUUUGACCUAGAACAAGGGCAGGAUUACCUGGCCAGACAGAGUCCACCCACAGAGAUAUAGCCAGGAGCUGGCUGAGUGACCUUCAGCCUUACCAUGGGCUGUACCCUCACAUGGCCAUUAUGCAGCAGCUCUGUCCCCGACAGUAGCUGGUGAUGACCACAGAGGGUACACGUGUAGGAUGGGGGAUGAGGGUCAUGGUCUAAGGGGGCGAGAAGGAAAAGAGGUCCCCACCACCCAGGCUGUUGCUAGGAGAGAUUAAUCCAGGACAGAAAAUACCCCAAGCUGCCCACCUGGCCUUUGUCUAGAACAUAAACUCCCAGGGAACCAGGACGCCCUCCCAGAGCAGCGGCGUCCCUGGGGAGUCCAGAGCCUCCAUGGUAUUUAUUCCCUGUCACUUUGGCUCUGUUACCAGUGGCUCCGGCCAGCCCAGCCCCCGGUCUAGCCCUCCUGGUUUCUCUGCACCGUGACCCUACCCUGGCCCCAGAUAUUCCAAUUCUAGGAACCUCCCUCUUAGGAAGCAACCCAAUUAGCUCCCCGACCUCAGCUCUCUGCGCAGCCGGGCGUUAAAUCGCAGAUCCAAGAGUGGAAAUUGACUUUGCCGACGGUGGCUGUGGGUGCUGACACCAUUAGGUGGGGAGCCGGUGAGGAAGUCCUUGUCUGUUAGGAGGGCCUGCCAGGGCUGCUCUGAAUCCAGGAUUGCCUCGAUUCUGCCACUUCCAAAGGCCUUGCGGAUUCUACUGGUUCCAAACAAAUACUGAGGCUCGACCACAGUCUAAAAUGCAUUUGCUCACUCACCGCACCCAGCCGGACGUGGCCAUCCCCUCUGGUAUAAAUCAGCCUCACCGCCUGCUCUGAAAAGAUGCUCAAACACGCCAGUUCUCUUUAUACGACCUCCCCUUGGAGACUGUUUGCACCGGCAGUGGGUGCAUUCUGGGACUGACAAGCCCUUGCUGACCCCACUGCCUAGAACAUCUUUUUUCCCAGAAACCUGCUUUCUUUCUGAUUUCUCAGCCUCGGCAUGAAUGUCACUGCAGAGGAGCUUCGAGACUACCCUUUCCACCGUAGCUCACACACCCCCACUGGAUGUCCUUGCCUUACUGCUUCUCUUCUCGGGGCUCAUAGCGAGCUGAAAUCACCUCGUUUGUUUCUUGCCACCCUAUGCCAGCUCCCGGUGGGCAGGACUGAGCUCGCUGCUGUGUCCCCAGACCCAAGCCCGGUGGCCGGCACGCAGGAAAUGUACUUAAAUAGGGGCUGGAUGAGAGGGAAGAUUCCCAUGGCCCAACGAUGAAUGGAGCAGAGACCCAGGCUGAGGGGUCAGGAAGCCAGGGUUGGUGGGACGUCAAACAAGCCACUGGACCACAGGGCUUCAGCCCCCAGCCCUUGUGAGGGGAUGAGGGUGGCAGGCUGAGUCAAGUUCCCUAAAGUUAUGGAAAAAGAGCAUCUCACAGGAAGUAAGUCAUCCGCAGAGUCUACAGGAGCAGGGAAAAUCCCCGGAUCCCCUCACAGCAUGUGUCCUAGAGCUCCUAGACAGAGGCCAGGCAGAGUCUAUGGACACUGACCAGACUGUGCUGUUGUUACUACGACCGAGAACAACAAUCAGCAUAAGCAAGAAUCUGGGACACAAGCUCCCGGAGGGCAGUGACCCUGCUUCUUUCCUGCUCUGAUCCCAACAUCUGGGCCAGUGCCCGCCACAUCCAGGCACUUCAGUGCUGUAUGUUGAAAUGAAAAUGAAACUUGUCAAGUACGAAAUGAACUUGUCAAGUAGCUGGAUCUUCCAGUCUUCCAGGGGCCUGCUCCGAGUGACCUCCCUCCACCCCCAAUCUCUUCCCCUUGCAUGGGCUCCAACUGCAGCCUGAAUCACAGGGGGAUCAGUUAACACUUCAAACAGCCCAGCUGAGUAAUAAAUUCUAAAUCAGGAAGGCUGGGUUGGAGUAUCUUUCCUACCAGCAAGGGUGUGAAUCGUGCUCCGUUCAUAUUAACAAAUGUAUGUAUAGACCAACGCAGCACACAUUGUGUGGACCAAGAGCCAAACCUCAGGAGUGAUCAGAUCUUGGGGUAUAAUAGCUCUUGGUCAUGUGAAAUACUUGGAGGUGAUCAGAUAUUGUCCAAACCUGAUACCGUCUGGAGUUAAAGUAAUAGCAGUUGCUGUGGCAGCCUUCUACUGUUUAUGACUCUACCACUUGCAAGUAGCUUUGAAAUCCAUGAUCUGUGCAUUUUCACAGCAAUGCAGGGAUUGUUCCCAUUUAUGAAAGGCUGAAAGAGGUCACAUGGUGGGCGACAGUCACACCAGACCUGGAGCUGAGGUUCUCUCCCUCUCAAGGUCACAGGCAGAAAUCAGCUCACAGCCAGCUGAAAGGCAGGGAGAGUGUGCCCAAGGAGGGCAGCUUGGCUGGAGGUGAAACCCUACAAUGUUACUUUAAAGGGGGGAAAAAAAAAAGGUACUGCUUUUGACUGGUUAUUUCUGGGUGCUGGGAUUACUUUUUUUUUCUCUUUUACCUAUUUGUAUUCCCUCAAGUUUCAAUAAAUUAAUACCUGCUGCUUA